UGUAUCUUUUGUGUCAGUCAAACUCAACUGACACUGUUGACCAAAAUAAGCCAUUUAGGUUAGUUUAAAACUGAUACUAUUGAUGUUAAUUAGCGUCAGAGAACACUGACGCUAAUGUGUUUAUUAAUAUAAAGAAGAAAAAAUAGGUCUGGGCCAAAGCACAUUAACCAAACCUAUGCACUCAGUCUUUCACUCUCCCUUUCUCUCACAACCGUAUAGCACUCUCCUUCCUCACAAAUUUCAUCCCUCACAUCUCAUUUCUCUCCGUCUCACAUCUUUCAGCAGUGUCGACAAGUGAGGGGCGACUAGCAAGGGGCGAGAACACUGACGACGGGUUUGUGGAGCCGACGACAGCAGUGGGUAAGUUUACGUUCUCUUUGUCUCUCUCAGUCGCUUUCUUUCACUCUCUGUAUUGUAGGUUGGGGGUGUAGAGUCGACGAGAGCAGUGGGUACGUGAGAUGAAGUCUAUCUGAUUACGCAAAAUAUAAUCCCACAUUAUUUGGAAACAAAAUAAUUCUUAUUUCUUCCUUUUAUAAAUUCAACACUCACCUAUUCUUCUAAACACGAUUAAUAAAAUACUUACAUGAUUUAUUAUAUUGAAAUAAUUAAUAUAAUAAAAUAAUUGAUGAUAAGGUUCAGGAUAAUGGAUAAGUCCAUAACGAACAAAAUACUAACAUUCAAUUUUGCCUCUCUCCCCAUCUCUGUCUCUCUCAUCCAUUUCACUCUCAAGCUCGCUCUCAUCGGCAUGGAUUAUCAAGAUGAUGUAUGAUCCAUUCUGCCCAUUCUAAUCAUUUACCUCUGCCUCUAUGCAUUACCGUUAUUUUAUUUUUCAGAGCCAUAUUAUGAUUCCCUACAAAAGUUUGCGUCCUCUUGUUUUUUUAGGAGCUAUGGUAGUUGAUCGGCCAACUAGUUAUUGAAAUUACAAACAUUAUCCUUGUUUUUGUUUUGCUAAUCUUUGCUCCAAAUCAUGUAUAUGUGACAAAGACACAAACAUUAAAAACAGAUUGCUAAUUGUGUCAUAUUGGACUCUUUAUUAUGAACAGAGGAGAUUAGAAAGACAAUCAUUUAUGUGUA